GCGCGGUUAGCUCAGCGGAAGAGCGCCUGCCUUACACGCAGGUGGUCGCAGGUUCAAAUCCUGCACCGCGCA
rnacentral:tRNA from 1 species